UGUGGCUCAGUGGUAGAGCACAUACCUAGCAUGUGUGAGGCACUGGGUUUGAUCCUCAGCA
rnacentral:tRNA from 1 species